GCUGUCCAGGCAUGCUGAGAGUUGAAUGUUUGCAACAUCUGGAGGGCCACCAGUUUGAGACCCCUGCUCUAUGCAUUCUCUAGAUUUUCUUAUUUAUCUUAUCACUUUUUUAGCGUACCAUUUGCUGGCUCUACAUCUUCUUCAUCCCUGGCUAUUGGGCUACCUCAGGCUACCUACUGCAGCUAAUGGAUCAUCCUCAUGAAGCCACCACCGGUGCCUUAUUCACAAAGUGUAUUGUAUUGCUUGACAUCAGGGCACUUAUAAGACCUUGGAUGGUGCCAGUCAAUCAGGAUAUAUCCUUUGCAUAAUCGGGUCCCUUAUCCUUUAUUCACACAAUAUUGUACUUCUACAUCACAAAUUUUAACAUGAUUGUGAGAAAGAGACAGUCCAA